rnacentral:rRNA from 1 species
UACGUAGGGGGCAAGCGUUGUCCGGAAUUAUUGGGCGUAAAGAGCGUGUAGGCGGCCAGAUAAGUCCGACUGUGAAAUCUCGAGGCUCAACUUCGAGCUGUCGGUGGAAACUAUCUGGCUAGAGUCCGGAAGAGGAGAAUGGAAUUCCUGGUGUAGCGGUGAAAUGCGCAGGAUAUCAGGAAGAACACCCCGUGGCGAAGGCGGUUCUCUGGGACGGUACUGACGCUGAGACGCGAAAGCGUGGGGAGCGAACAGG